GAACGACGAACCCUAGGGUGGUUUAAUCUCGCUUAACACGAAGUUCCCGACCCAGGAGUGACAUUCACUUUGUCUCGGUAUUUGUUCCUCCAUGUGUCUUAACGAUUUUGUAUGUGUUAUCAUAUCAACACUAGAAGGUAACAAUCAAGAAGAAGAAUGGUCAACAAUUAAACGAGUGAUAUAGUCGAUUGAAUUCUUCUUAUCACCAAUUACAAGAUUGAUUGAAAGGAAAAAUGAAUUAUAGAAAGAAAAAUAUAAAUGACCUAACAAAUGUGAUUAACUACCCCCCUUUUAACAACUAGGUGCUAAUUAACAAACUAUUAACCAAAGUUAUAGAAGUAACCCCCUAAACUAUUACUAUAUUGCAACCAGCAACAUUUUAACCAUUCACAUAAUCCCCAAACACUGCUGAAACUGAGAACUUGGCAAAGUCUAUUGCUGAUUCUCCUGUAUCAACCAACCCAAUUAAUGAAACAAAACGAAAGAAAACAAAUGAAACAGAAUUCAAGAAGAUUCUAAAUAUGUUAAUCAACAUAACUGCUUCUGAGAUUUAGACAUCACUACACAUGAACAUUGAUCAUUUCAAUCCUAAAACCUACAAAAUACAUACCCAAGUAAGAACGUAGACGGUACAAGCUUUACCUUUGUUAUUGAAUAUUGACAAUGAACCGACAGAAUUGCAGUAACAAAUCUAUAAACAUGCUGCAAUGAAUUCAAAACAAAUGGAAGAUAUAUUUACGUACCUGAAAGUGAUCUGCGAGAAGAUAACUGGAAAUUUAGGUGUCGGUUGAGUUGGAAGACGAAAGCAACGUUACAGCUCCGACGCCUUAAAGAUUGAAGCCAUUUUCUUGCUAAUUUCUACAGGAGAAUAAAUCUUGCAAGAGGAUCAACUGAUGAUCAAGUUCAAAACACACACAUUCACAACACUUUAUACGUUAUAGUGUGUGGGGGAGGCAGCGAAAACGAUGAUGCUUUCUUGCUGUUGAUGUUGUCAGUGUAAACAAAAGAUGUCACACUGCUAAAGAUGAAAUGCGACUGAGGACCUAAAGUUGAAAUGAUUUUGAUUUCAAUAGACUUGACAUCAGGCUUCUUCACUUCUUCUUUGGGCACCGUAAUUGUGAGCACACCGUUUUCCAUGGCCGCCUUCACCUGAUCCAUUUUGGCAUUCUCCGGCAACCUGAACCUCCUUGUGAAUUUCCCGCUGCUUCGUUCUACCCGAUGCCAUUUAUCAUUCUUAUCUUCUUUCUCCACGUUCCUCUCACCGGUGAUCUGUAAGAUGUUUCCGUCUUCUACCUCCACUUUCACUUCUUCUUUCUUCAUCCCAGGAAGAUCCGCCUUGAACACAUGAGCUUCUGGCGUUUCCUUCCAAUCCACACGGGCGUUUACCAAAGCAGAAGUUUCCCUUGAAACAUCAGAGGAAGAUGAAAGGGGGAAGUCUCUGAACGGGUCCCAAACGUCGAGGGAAAAGGGGUCGAAGAUGCUGCUCCGUCGGCCACCGAACAAGCUGGGGACGAUCGACAUGUGCUAAUGUUUGGCUGAAACUGUGAAAAGAUUGAAGAAUUUGGUAAUUUGCUGAUUGGAUUGUUUAUGUUGGUGAUUUUGAGGGAGCAGGGACGAUUUAUAUAGUUUGGAUAGGGAUAUUCGGGAACUUUCAGGAUGACUCGUGUGUGUGAAGAAGAAUAACGAUGAAGAAGCUUCUUGAGCCUUCUACGGCCAAUCAUGUGU
rnacentral:lncRNA from 1 species